UACGUAGGGUGCAAGCGUUAAUCGGAAUUACUGGGCGUAAAGCGUGCGCAGGCGGUUUUGUAAGUCUGACGUGAAAUCCCCGGGCUCAACCUGGGAAUUGCGUUGGAGACCGCAAGGCUGGAGUCUGGCAGAGGGGGGUAGAAUUCCACGUGUAGCAGUGAAAUGCGUAGAUAUGCGGAGGAACACCGAUGGCGAAGGCAAUCCCCUGGACCUGUACUGACGCUCAUGCACGAAAGCGUGGGGAGCAAACAGG
rnacentral:rRNA from 1 species